rnacentral:rRNA from 1 species
AGCGAACGCUGGCGGCAGGCCUAACACAUGCAAGUCGAGCGCCGUCGCAAUACGGCGCGGCAGACGGGAGAGUAACACGUGGGAACGUACCCUUCAGUACGGAACAACCACGGGAAACUUUGGCUAAUACCGUAUACGUCCGUAAGGAGAAAGAUUUAUCGCUGAAGGAUCGGCCCGCGUCUGAUUAGCUUGUUGGUGGGGUAACGGCUCACCAAGGCGACGAUCAGGAGCUGGUCUGAGAGGAUGAUCAGCCGCACUGGGACUGAGACCCGGCCCAGACUCCUACGGGAGGAAGCAGUGGGGAAUAUUGGACAAUGGGCGCAAGCCUGAUCCAGCCAUGCCGCGUGGGUGAUGAAGGCCCUAGGGUUGUAAAGCCCUUUCGGCGGGGAAGAUAAUGACGGUACCCGCAGAAGAAGCCCCGGCUAACUUCGUGCCAGCCGCCGCAGUAAGAC